UUCCAUUUGUCUCGAACUGGCCCUCGUGCCGCCGUCUUCUAGCCGAGUAGGGGUUUUUGUGACUGAAACUCAUCCCCCACGAACCCUCUUAGCACUGCCCUGUUUCGGCGAUAGAAUAGCCGAGCGAGUUGUCUCCGAUUCUUGAGUUUUUUUGUGUGCAACUGAGUCGAUUUGUUUGAUGUUGAGCAGUUCCAUGUGUUCGCUCGGGUCUAGGUCCGGGCUCGAGUCCUAAGAAGUGGCCAGCGUCGUUCUCCUCACUUCUUGCCCACCACGUGCUUGACGAAAUGCUUGAACCGAACCUGUGUAGACCUCUCUUUGUGCUGUGCAUUCUAGCCGACUGCCAUGCGUUCGUGAUAAUGCCUAAACAGAGCUGCGUCCUUGUUCGAAGAGGGUCUUUUGAAUCAAAACAUCUAAAUUUUAUAGAAAAAUUAUAACUUUCGACUUCAGAUCAUUCAGUUCGCGUUUGUUUACCUGAGAUUUGAGUUUGCGGUUAUACAUUUUUAUGUCUAGAGAUCGAAUGUGUCAGUUUGUCGAUCCAUGAGUGUUCUCUUUUUACUGGGAAAAGAGCGUGUGCAUAUGAGAGGAGAAGUUGGCAUUGAAGUGGCCGUGAGUUGUGAGCAAUGGGCUUGGUAGGUUUAAUGAGAUUUGGGUUUUUGGUUGAUUGAGAGAGCUUGGGUUGGUGUGGGCUCAAACAGAUUCUAGGCCUUAGUUUUAGACGUAGGGGCAGCUUGGUAUUCUGCUUCUUGGCCGAGAGAGAGAUCGGAGAAAGAGGAAGCAACCGAGAGAGAGCGAGCCUUGAAUGAGAGGGAGGGAGAGGAACGUUGGCUCAGUAACACCUAGUGAAGCCCACUCUUCCCGACUGGCUGAGCGACUGCAGCCGGCGACACCACACCCACGAGCGCUGGUUGUGCUCGACUCGUUGGCUCCAGUGGCUUAUGCACCCCCUGCAGUGUAUGCUUCUAUGCACUGAUGAGUGUGAGUGAGUGUUUCAAAGCAAUUGAAAGCAAAUUUUUAGUGUUUGUAAUAUUGAGAAGUUGGAGCGAAUUUUUAACUCUUUUGAUUCCUCCGUGUUUCUUGAGCGAAAUGCAGUUAGGUUCAUGUAUGACUUUUCGCAUAAUUCUGAAGAAGUGAUAAAAGCAGUGUUUUAACCGA